GAUGAACGCUGGCGGCGUGCCUAAUACAUGCAAGUCGAGCGAAUGGAUUAAGAGCUUGCUCUUAUGAAGUUAGCGGCGGACGGGUGAGUAACACGUGGGUAACCUGCCCACAAGACUGGGAUAACUCCGGGAAACCGGGGCUAAUACCGGAUAACAUUUUGAACCGCAUGGUUCGAAAUUGAAAGGCGGCUUCGGCUGUCACUUAUGGAUGGACCCGCGUCGCAUUAGCUAGCUGGUGAGGUAACGGCUCACCAAGGCAACGAUGCGUAGCCGAGCUGAGAGGGUGGUCGGCCACACUGGGACUGAAGCACGGCCCAGACUCCUACGGGAGGCAGCAGAAGGGAAGCUUCCGCAAUGGACGAAAGUGUGACGGAGCAACGCCGCGUGAGUGAUGAAGGCUUUCGGGUCGUAAAACUCUGUUGUUAGGGAAGAACAAGUGCUAGUUGAAUAAGCUGGCACCUCGACGGUACCUAACCAGAAAGCCACGGCUAACUACGUGCCAGCCGCCGCGGUAA
rnacentral:rRNA from 1 species